GUGUCGCUAGCUCAGCUGGUAGAGCAACGGACUUUUAAUCCGUAGGUCGGGGGUUCGAGUCCCCCGCGGCACACCA
rnacentral:tRNA from 1 species